UACAGGGGGUGCAAACGUUGCUCGGAAUCAUUGGGCGUAAAGCGCACGUAGGCGGUUUGUUAUGUCGGAUGUGAAAGCCCUUGGCUCAACUGAGGAAGUGCAUCCGAAACUGGCAGCUAGAGUACUAAAGAGGGUCGCGGAAUUCCCGGUGUAGAGGUGAAAUUCGUAGAUAUCGGGAGGAACACCGGUGGCGAAGGGCGGCGACCUGGGUAGAUACUGACGCUGAGGUGCGAAAGCGGUGGGGAGCAAACAGG
rnacentral:rRNA from 1 species